rnacentral:rRNA from 1 species
UACAGAGGGUGCAAGCGUUAAUCGGAAUUACUGGGCGUAAAGCGUGCGUAGACGGUUAUGUAAGUCAGAUGUGAAAGCCCCGGGCUCAACCUGGGAAUGGCAUUUGAGACUGCAUAGCUAGGAUGCGGAAGAGGGAAGUGGAAUUUCCGGUGUAGCGGUGAAAUGCGUAGAUAUCGGAAGGAACAUCAGUGGCGAAAGCGACUUCCUGGUCCAGCAUCGACGUUCAGGCACGAAAGCGUGGGGGAGCAAACAGG